rnacentral:sRNA from 1 species
GGGGUUGCGGCGAGCCCUGCCUGCGAACGUCACGUCCCUGCGCGCUCCCUGCACUCUCCCUGCACUCUCCCGAGCUGCGCUAGGCGGGCGCCGCGGCUGCCCCGCGAAGGAAACCGAAACCGAGGCCGGGCCCGUCCCUCCGCGGCCCCAUCCGCCCAGUGCACCCGGGGCCGCGCUCGCCAGGCCGCGGAGCCCAGAGCUGCGCGCACGAACCGGGCACCGGGAGGGCGCGGCGCCGAAGGGUCCCGGGUCUUCGACGCCUCUGCGGCGGCUCCUCCCUCCUUGCAGUUGGAUCCCGGGCGGGUGCGGCCCGGCCCGUGAGCGGCGCACAGAAUGGGCCGAUGCUGCUUCUACACGGCGGGGACGUUGUCCCUGCUCCUGCUGGUGACCAGCGUCACGCUGCUGGUGGCCCGGGUCUUCCAGAAGGCUGUAGACCAGAGUAUCGAGAAGAAAAUUGUGUUAAGGAAUGGUACCGAGGCCUUUGACUCGUGGGAGAAGCCCCCUCUGCCAGUGUAUACUCAGUUCUAUUUCUUCAAUGUCACCAAUCCAGAGGAGAUCCUCAGAGGGGAGACCCCUCGGGUGGAAGAAGUGGGGCCAUACACCUACAGGGAACUCAGAAACAAAGCAAAUAUUCAAUUUGGAGAUAAUGGAACAACAAUAUCUGCUGUUAGCAACAAGGCCUAUGUUUUUGAACGAGACCAAUCUGUUGGAGACCCUAAAAUUGACUUAAUUAGAACAUUAAAUAUUCCUGUAUUGGUAAGUAGGCAUUUUAAUACCAUUAAUUUGGAUUUGGGAAGAAAGGAAAAAGCUAAGUUAAUGCUCUUUAUUAUUUUACAUUUAGGAGCCAUUAAGUUAUGUUGAAAUAUACAUAUAUAAGAAGAAAAAUACUUUUUUUCUUCUUUUCUUUACAUCUUGGACUUUUUUCUAAGAUUUAUCAAAUAAGGUCUUUUCAAAUGAUGACUAAAUUCAGAUUUUAGGAUUUGUUUUCAUAAUUUCUUCCUGAAUGUUCAGGAUUAGCAAUUGUGCAAAUAAAUAUGUCCCUAGGAUUUUUUGGUAGCUAAUAAUUUUAAAAAUGUUUAUUUGCCCCUUGUUUUCAUUCAGAAAUUCUAGCAAUGAAAUUUGUAUACCAUUUCUUACUUCAGAUUUUUAUGUUGGAUUUUAUAUUCUCAAAAUUCAUAAAUUGACACCAGAAAUCAAUAGACUGGGCAGUGGGCUCUGUUUAUAAUGGUAAUUCUACCUAAUAACGACACCUAUUCUACAUCUAUUCUAUACUGAGACCUAUGAGACUUUCUUUUUUUUUAAAUUAAAUUUAUUUAUUUAUUAUUAAUUUUUUUUGAGACAGGGUCUUGCUCUGUCGCCCAGGCUGGAGUGCAGUCAGUGGCUCCAUCACAGCUCGCUGAAGCUUCUACCUCCUGGGCUCCACAGGGAUCCUCCUGUGUCGGCCAGGGACUCCAGGCGUGAACUGCUGUGCCUGGGCUGGCCCAGUAAACAUUCUAAUUCACCUACACCAACCCCUGCCGACUCUCCCACCCUAACCCCUAGGUGACCGCUCCAUAUGCAGCUGGACACUGAUGAUGGACCCACGACCUAGACAGUAUGAGGUCCCUGCCGCCUAGUCCCAGGGGUGUAGGUCGGGUUUAUAAUGAGCCUCUGGCCCUGCUCAGGAGGAAGGUAGCGCCACCUUGUGGCCAAAGAUGCCGACAUGUUUACAAGAGCUUUUCCCCUUUUGUGGUGUCUGGAUAACUCCGAGCCUGCAAAUGGUCUUUUUGUAAAUAUUACACUUACGAAAUGCAGUACUGAGAAAGGACAGAGAAGAGGCUUUGUCUUCCAUAUGCAGCCAGAAAGGAGCUCACUGCCUGAUUUUUCAGCUAUUUAAUCUCAACCUUUACAUUUAUAUUUCCAACCCCCUUUGCUAAGGGGUAGUAGGAGAGAGUGGAUGGAGGUGCUUUGGAGGGAAUGCUGCUGUCUUAAUAUACCUCUGCUCCGCAGACUGUCAUAGAGUGGUCCCAGGUCCACUUCCUCAGGGAGAUCAUCGAGGCCAUGUUGAAAGCCUAUCAGCAGAAGCUCUUUGUGACUCACACAGUUGAUGAAUUGCUCUGGGGCUACAAAGAUGAAAUCUUGUCCCUUAUCCAUGUUUUCAGGCCCGAUAUCUCUCCCUAUUUUGGCCUAUUCUAUGAGAAAAAUGGGACUAAUGAUGGAGACUAUGUUUUUCUAACUGGAGAAGACAAUUACCUUAACUUUACAAAGAUUGUGGAAUGGAAUGGGAAAACGUCACUUGACUGGUGGAUAACAGACAAGUGCAAUAUGAUUAAUGGAACAGAUGGAGAUUCUUUUCACCCACUAAUAACCAAAGAUGAGGUCCUUUAUAUCUUCCCAUCUGAUUUUUGCAGGUCAGUGUAUAUUACUUUCAGUGACUAUGAGAGUGUACAGGGACUGCCUGCCUUUCGGUAUAAAGUUCCUGCAGAAAUAUUAGCCAAUACGUCAGACAAUGCUGGCUUCUGUAUACCUGAGGGAAACUGCCUGGGCUCAGGAGUUCUGAAUGUCAGCAUCUGCAAGAAUGGUGCACCCAUCAUUAUGUCUUUCCCACACUUUUACCAAGCAGAUGAGAGGUUUGUUUCUGCCAUAGAAGGCAUGCACCCAAAGAAGGAAGACCAUGAGACAUUUGUGGACAUUAAUCCUUUGACUGGAAUAAUCCUAAAAGCAGCCAAGAGGUUCCAAAUCAACAUUUAUGUCAAAAAAUUAGAUGACUUUGUUGAAACGGGAGACAUUAGAACCAUGGUUUUCCCAGUGAUGUACCUCAAUGAGAGUGUUCACAUUGAUAAAGAGACGGCAAGUCGACUGAAGUCUGUGAUUAACACUACUUUGAUUAUCACCAACAUACCCUACAUCAUCAUGGCGCUGGGUGUGUUCUUUGGUUUGGUUUUUACCUGGCUUGCAUGCAAAGGACAGGGAUCCAUGGAUGAGGGAACAGCAGAUGAAAGAGCACCCCUCAUUCGAACCUAAACAUUGCCUUUGCUUGGUGAAGAAACUGUGAGCUGUCCUGACCUGGACCAUGACGUGGGGAAAGCCUCCAUCUCCUUGCAGGCUUGUUGCCUGUUGAAAGAAGGGAAAAGACAUGGCGCUGGCAAGUGAUAGGAACAUUCUGGCCAGAGGUUAAAGAGCAGGCUGACAUGGCUGGCCAUUAAGCUUUAUAAAAUCAUGUGGGCUCUGAAAUUGUUCUUUUAUGUGUCUAGCAAGUAUUUAAUAAACCCUUGUAUAGUAAUUUUGUUGUUGUUGGGUGCUGGUAGCUCCAGAAUUUUGUGACCACUGUUGUGGGUAAAAUGUCUCUGCAUCACUUGUUAAUGCUACUUGGUCUAACUUUAUUCAGUAUGCUUCAUUCACCAAACUUUGUGCUUAAAAUGCGUAUAUACCAUUUUAUGUUGUAUUUCUCCAUUUCACUUGCAAAACAGAAGUAAAUGAGUUCGGGACCCAGGGUAAAAUGGUAGCUUCAUCCAAUAUAUCAUUCAAAUGCAUCUGAUUUCUAAAACAUUACAUAUUACAUUUUAUGCUGAUCUUCAGUUCAUAAUUCCUCCAGGGAAACUCAGUCUUCCAACUACAAUAAAAUACUGGGUAGAAUCAAAUGGGAAAGAGGUUGGGUGGGGCAGUACCCAUGAGUUGAUAGUAAUAAGCUCCUAAGGAUUUUUAACUUGUACUUUUGUGAACAAAGAGAAUACAUAAAUAAUGUUGGUGAGGAUAAAGUACAGGUAUUUCAUGUAGAAUUAAGUGCUAGUUAUGAUGCUUGUGGAUAGUUAACUGGUUUUUUUUUAAUCAAAAUGAUCGUGCUAUGAAAAGAUGCUUCUGAAAGAAUGUAAUGAGUAACUGAUUUUUCUUCCUGAGUCGCCCUUGCCAAAUAUGUUACUGUAUUAAUUAAUCUAAUAUUGAGUGAUUAUUUGUAAAAUUAUGAGUAUGGGAUAUCCAUCUAUCUACAGCCUAAGUUACACGUAAGUUUCAGAAAGUCUGAUUAGACUGAAGAGAUAUUUCUUCCGGGACAGCCUUCUUCUUGGUAAUUUUGAAGUUCUUUUUACAAGUUCCUUCCUCAGAUUCAGUUCUUUCCAGUGUUUUGUAGCUCACUGUCACUCACUGAAUAGAGAAACAUGUGCCCUACACUUCCUGUGACAAUCAUUUUGCUGACAGAAUGAUGGAUGUUUAGAAUAUUGCACAAAGUACUUUAAAGAAAGGUCUGUUAGGACCAGAAGCAGAGACACCACUUUUCAAAGGACUUCUUGGUUUCAGCAUAACCUCAGACAGGGAAUUGGGAGCCAUCAUAUGUCACAGUGUUCAGAAUUCAAGCAUAUUUAAGGGCAUUUUCUUUGAUUCUCAAAGUUCACCAUUCAUUUUGAAGUAAGAAGCCUAUACAUUUAGCUGACAAAGUGCUUAUAGAAUUUCUUAACAACUGAACCAUUCAAAAGGAUUUUUUUUUUGUUUAAAACUGGAUUUCAAUGUAAGCAAAUGAAGAAAAAAUAUAGAUUUCAUUUCCAUAGCUUCUUAUCCCUGUAUUGAGGUAAUAAAUUGUUUUACUGACAAUUUUUCCUUUUUCUACACUAAAACAAUAUGUGAUAUAUUUCCCCUCUUGGCAGAGGCAAUUCAUUAAACCCUCAAAUUUUCUAUAGAAUCAAGAUAGAACCUUUAGAUACUCCAACUCACCAAAAUGUAAAAAAACUGACAAAAAUAUUUGGUCUUCAAUAAUGCUAAAUAUCUAGAUUUUUAGAAUUUAUCAACAUUUAACUAGAUAAUUGGGCAUGUCUUAUUUAUGCAUGUACUUACCCAUACUAAUAAAAUUGACAACACUAGUGCAUACUUAUUGGUUUAGUCCUAUUAUCAGGAUAUAAUCAUCUGUGAGGAGGAUAUUUUAAAUACUGUAAAUGAUAACAGUUAAUGAUAUACACGUUUAGACUGAGUUGUACACUGGCAGGGAGACCAAAAACAUAGUACUUCCAUACUUGUGUCAUGAUUCUUUUUUUUUUUUGAGACAGAGUCUCACUCUGUCGCCAGGCUGGAGUACAGUGGCGUGAUCUCGGCUCACUGCAACCUCUGCCUCCCGGGUUCAAGCAAUUCUCCUGCCUCAGCCUCCCAAGUAGCUGGGACUUCAGGCGCGUGCCACCACACCCAGCUGAAUUUUGUAUUUUUAGUGGAGACGGGGUUUCACCAUGUUGGCCAGGAUGGUCUCGAUCUCCUGACCUUGUGAUCUGCCCGCCUCAGCCUCCCAAAGUGCUGGGAUUACAGGCGUAAGCCACCGGGCCUGGCCUGUUUCAUGAUUCUUAAUAGUUACUUGGUUUAAAUCACAUUUGAUACUAUCCUUCUGAAAAGUCUGAGACAGAUCUACAAACUACAGUCAAAAUUAUAGAUUAAGAGGAAUGAAUGCACCCAUUUGGCUUUAAGUUCAAGAUAAAUUAUUUCUCAUGCUCAUUUUCUUGCGGCAGUUGUCUUAGAAAGGCCCCCAAAGGCUCUGUGAUUGGAAGCACCGUCAUGAUCACAGAAUGCAAGCGUCUGGUGCCGUGAUCCUCAACUUAGAGAGGAGGAAACCCAGACAGAGAGCUUAACUCACUUCUCUCAGGGAAAAUUAGGAGUUGAGCACAGGACAGGAAAUGCGCUUUGCCACUUUUAGCUCCAGGCUUUUCCAACCAGACUUGAUUUCCUCAUGUUCUAGAAAGAUCACUAACGGUCAAGUGGAACAAGCACUACACGAUAACCCCUAUUGGGGUUUUUAACUUAAGGGAGGCUAAUUUUUAAUUUAAACUGCUCGAGAUAUGAGUUCUGCAAAAGGUGGUCCGC